AUUGAACGCUGGCGGCAGGCCUAACACAUGCAAGUCGAGCGAGCGGCGGACGGGUGAGUAAUGUAUGGGGACCUGCCCGGUAGAGGGGGAUAACUACUGGAAACGGUGGCUAAUACCGCAUACUAUCGGAUGAACCCAUAUGGGAUUAGCUAGUAGGUGGGGUAAAGGCUCACCUAGGCGACGAUCUCUAGCUGGUUUGAGAGGAUGACCAGCCACACUGGGACUGAGACACGGCCCAGACUCCUACGGGAGGCAGCAGUGGGGAAUUUUGGACAAUGGGGGAAAGCCUGAUGCAGCCAUGCCGCGUGUAUGAUGAAGGCCUUCGGGUUGUAAAGUACUUUCAGCAGGGAGGCGGUAUCUGCAGAAGAAGCACCGGCUAACUACGUGCCAGCAGCCGCGGUAAUAC
rnacentral:rRNA from 1 species